GUYUUUUUGUUAAAAAUUUAAAGUCGGGCCUGCCCACUGAAACUUUAAAUGGCCGUGGUAUUUUGACCGUGCUAAGGUAGCAUAAUCAUUAGUUUUUUAAUUGAAAGCUGGAAUGAAAGGUUUGAUAAAAAAAUGACUGUCUCUAUUUAAUUUUAUUAGAAAUUUAUUUUUAAGUUCAAAAGCUUAAUUUUUAUUAAAAGACGAGAAGACCCUAUAGAGUUUAAUAAUUAAAGGUAAUUUAUAUUUUAGAAUUAAUUUAUUUAUUUUUUAAUAUUAUUUAAUUGGGGUGAUUGAAAAAUUUAAUUAACUUUUUUUAUAUUUAACCAUUAAUUUAUGAUAAUUUGAUCCAAUUUUUUGAUUAUAAGAUAAAAUUACCUUAGGGAUAACAGCGUAAUUUUUUUAGAAAGUUCAAAUUAAAAGAAAAGAUUGCGACCUCGAUGUUGGAUUAAAAUUAAAUUUUGGUGUAGAAGCUAAAAAUUUUAAGUCUGUUCGACUUUUAAAAUUUUACA
rnacentral:rRNA from 1 species